UACACACACGCACGCGCAUCACCCUCUUCCCCUGGUCUCCCCUCCUCCCCACUCCACCACCGCUGUCCCAUUUGAUUUCCAUUCCCGUCCCUCCCUCCUCUCGCCCCAGUCAAAAUCCACCUCCUCUCGCUCUCCAUGCCGCCCGCUUCCUCCCCCUCCUCCUCCUGAUCCCCACGGCGCUCUCCCUGCUACUGCUCUACAAGCGCCGCCUCUCCGUCGCGCUUAACCCCAUCCAGAGGAAGGAUUUGCGUGCUGGGAUUGCGAGCCAGGGCCAUAGUGUCGAGGAUAGCAAGCUAACUGUGUUUCCUCUGAAAACUGUGAGUUCUUUGAAGGAACCUGUUGGUGCCGUAUUAUUGGAGGAACCUCUCAAGUUUGCCAAACAUUCGAUUGAGUCCACGGACCAAGAAUUGCUACCCGGGAAGAAGGCUAACAGGGUACUUUCUGAGAUUACUAAUUCAUGAAUAUAUUAGUUAUGAACUGCAACCCGUUAAAUGAACGCAAAAAGGUAAUCAACUUUACCAGAAGUGGCAAAAGGAACAGGCGAAGGUAAGCGUCGUUGGCUCUUUUACCAUCACGUGAUUUCCUAUCCAAUCCUAAUGGAGGCGAUUUAUCAGGGCUGUCUACAUCUGAAAGCCGUUUGGUUCUUUUAGGUAACUCAUAGGUUUUAUCCAUCCCAUCCUGGAUAUCAGUGGUACAUGAAUGAGUGACAAACAGAUAGAGUUACUCUGUUACAUGAGUAUAGACAAAACAAAUUUUACUAUGGCUGUGAAAUGAUUCAUAGAUGUAGCAAUGUUUAGAUAAGUCGUAGUAACAUCCACUCUGACACUUCUUCAGUAGUUUAUAAAAGACACCUCAGGGGAAUACAUUUUCGUCCCUGGUUGUUGGUUCUGGUGGGGUGAGCAUCCAAAGUUCUGAUGGGCUGAGCAUGCAAGGUUCUGAUGGGCUGAGCAUGUAAAGCUCAUGAUGUUAGUUGGCGAAACAAAAUUACUCAUCAGGUUAUAAAGCUUUGUGUGGCACAGGGGAAUGUGUUUCCCUCCCUGUUUAAAGCCAUCCUACAUACAGUCAUUUGGUGAAGCUAUCCUAGAGUCCUGCAACUUCAAGCUCCACGGCGCGGGGCUGCGCCGCUGCUGCUGCUGCUGCUGCCACGGCUGCCUGUGCCUGAGCCUGCUUGCCCUUGAAGUAAACAACCACCCACACAAUUGCUUGAAAGAAGGUCAGCGCAAUGCCACAGCUAUUGGACACCUGAAUCAGAGAGAAAUCUUAACCUGGAGACACUAGAAAAUACUACGUUGACGACGACACAUAAAACUGAUGGCGCAUCUAACGACAUACCAGAAUGAACAAGUCGAGCGGCUUUCCUUGUCCGCAAACACUGUCCAGGAGAUGCAGUUGAGCAUAGACGAAAGCACCAGCAGGAUGUUCAUCUGACUCAGGUCUCUGGUCUUCCAGGUCGUGUACUAGUUUUCAACACAAAGCAAAACUUGUUUGUUACUUCACAUUCAAUAAUAAGCACUCAUAUGCUACUUGUGUAUCAGUAUCCUUCAUAUCGAGUAAGGCAUGAUCGAAUUAUACUGUGUCGAACAGGAGUAGGACUUGCAAAGUGAUCUCCCAUGUCUCUGAAUAUGUCUGCCAAUGGACUGGCAAACUUCUCUCCAAGUUUACCAUUUAUCUGGGGUUUGCCUCAUUGUCCCAUGGGUACAUUUUUGCUUAGUGGUUUUCAUGAUGGUUUUCAAUGUAAUGCAGUAACUGAACUUCUAUGCAGUAUGCACUGGUGGUUUUCAGAGAUCAGAUGCAUGCUCUUAGAUAGUUAUUUUUGGUAUAGAAUCCCUAAACUUCUAUGCAGUAUGUACUUACGUGUGGAUUUUUUCUU